CCAUUUGGAGCCCUGGUGGCACUCAGCUCCAGGGCCCAGCUCUAGCUGGCUUUUUGCAGGAAGUAGGGAAGGGGAUAGGACUGCCCGGGGGGUGGGGCUUGUCUGCUGGCUGCCAGGCAGCACUACCAAGGGGAGGUGGGUGCCAGGCUCGGGUGUGGCUGAAGCUGGGACGGGCUGGGGUCCUCCUGGGGAACAGUACAGUCGGCGGAAAGAGUCAGGAGCCAGAGGCAGGCUGACUCCUCUCCUCUGGUCCCAGCUCUGCUGCUCACUGUUGUGUGACCUCGAGCAGGUCGCUGGCCCUCUUGGGCCUCAGUCUCCACAUCUGUACAAAUGGGAACAUUGUCCCUGCCCUGCCUACCUCACAGGGCUGUUGUGAGGAACUGAUGAGAUGAUGUAUGUGAAACACUUUGUAACCUGUAAAGCGCUGUGCACAUGUGUGUGGGUGACUGCU
rnacentral:lncRNA from 1 species